UACAGAGGUCUCAAGCGUUGUUCGGAUUCAUUGGGCGUAAAGGGUGCGUAGGUGGCGCCGUAAGUCAGGUGUGAAAUCUCGGGGCUCAACCCCGAAACUGCACUUGAUACUGCGGUGCUCGAGUACUGGAGAGGAGAUUGGAAUUUACGGUGUAGCGGUGAAAUGCGUAGAUAUCGUAAGGAAGACCAGUGGCGAAGGCGGGUCUCUGGACAGUUCCUGACGCUGAGGCACGAAGGUCAGGGGAGCAAACGGG
rnacentral:rRNA from 1 species